rnacentral:rRNA from 1 species
GAUGAACGCUGGCGGCGUGCUUAACACAUGCAAGUCGAACGAUGAAGCCCAGCUUGCUGGGUGGAUUAGUGGCGAACGGGUGAGUAACACGUGAGUAACCUGCCCUUAACUCUGGGAUAAGCCUGGGAAACUGGGUCUAUUACCGGAUAGGAGCGUCCACCGCAUGGUGGGUGUUGGAAAGAUUUAUCGGUUUUGGAUGGACUCGCGGCCUAUCAGCUUGUUGGUGUGGUAAUGGCUCACCAAGGCGACGACGGGUAGCCGGCCUGAGAGGGUGACCGGCCACACUGGGACUGAGACACGGACCAGACUCCAACGGGAGGCAGCAGUGGGGAAUAUUGCACAAUGGGCGCAAGCCUGAUGCAGCGACGCCGCGUGAGGGAUGACGGCCUUCGGGUUGUAAACCUCUUUCAGUAGGGAAGAAGCGAAAGUGACGGUACCUGCAGAAGAAGCACCGGCUAACUACGUG